AAAUUAAAUACUAUAUAAACAACAUAACCAAGUAAUAGAUUGUAUCGUAAUCUGUAAUAAUUAGUGUGAUAUAUAUUUGUAAUCAAUUAUAUAUUGAUAUUAAAUUUUAAAAAUCACGUUUAUCGGAUCACAAAGGAAUAGACAUUUUCAUUUUUUACGAAAAUAAAGUACGUAAAAUUUUAUAUAAAAUUACUACAAAAAUGAAUGAUAGUAUUCAUAUAUUAAUAUGUCUUACUGGUAUUAUUGCUAUUCAUGUUGGUUGGAAUAUGGUACAGAAAUUAAGACCAGAAAAGGAUCAACGUAAACAUCCUUUUAUAGAAUUAUACAAUGAUUUCAUAAAUUCAAGUGACAAUAAAUAAAAUAUUAUUGUAAUUAAAUAUUUAUUAAUGUAAUAAUAUAUAAUAAAUGUUAUAAAUAUUGAA